rnacentral:rRNA from 1 species
AUAGCGUAUAUUAAAGUUGUUGCAGUUAAAAAGCUCGUAGUUGAACUUCAGGCCUGGCCGAGUGGUCUGCCUCGCGGCAUGUACUGUUUGGCCGGGUCUUACCUCUUGGUGAACCGGCAUGCCCUUCACUGGGUGUGUCGGGGAACCAGGACUUUUACCUUGAGAAAAUUAGAGUGUUCAAAGCAGGCCUAUGCCCGAAUACAUUAGCAUGGAAUAAUAAAAUAGGACGUGCGGUUCUAUUUUGUUGGUUUCUAGGAUCGCCGUAAUGAUUAAUAGGGAUAGUUGGGGGCAUUAGUAUUCAGUUGCUAGAGGUGAAAUUCUUGGAUUUACUGAAGACUAACUAUUG